rnacentral:rRNA from 1 species
AACGAACGCUGGCGGCAGGCCUUAUACAUGCAAGUCGAGCGAGAAACUUCUUUCGGGAAGCGGACAGCGGCGGACGGGUGAGUAAUAUAUAGGAAUAUGCCCAACAGUGGGGGAUAACUAUUGGAAAUGAUAGCUAAUACCGCAUACGCCCUACGGGGGAAAGAUUUAUUGCUGUUGGAGUAGCCUAUAUUAGAUUAGGUAGUGGUGGGGUAAAAGCCUACCAAGCCGACGAUCUAUAGCUGAUCUGAGAGGAUGAUCAGCCACACUGGAACUGAGAUACGGUCCAGACUCCUACGGGAGGCAGCAGUAGGGAAUAUUGCACAAUGGGGGAAACCCUGAUGCAGCCAUGUCGCGUGAGUGAUGACGGCCUUCGGGUUGUAAAACUCUUUCAGUGGUGAAGAUGAUGACUGUAACCACAGAAGAAGCACCGGCUAACUUCGUGCCAGCAGCCGCGGUAAUAGAAGGGUGCUAGCGUUGUUCGGAAUUACUGGGCGUAAAGAGCGUGUAGGCGGACUAAUUAGUCAGAGGUGAAAUCCCAGAGCUUAACUCUGGAACUGCCUUUGAUACUGUUAGUCUUGAGAUUGUGAGGGGAUAGUGGAAUGUCUAGUGUAGAGGUGAUAUUCGCAGAUAUUAGAUGGAACACCAGUGGCGAAGGCGGCUAUCUGGCACAAUACUGACGCUAAGACGCGAAAGCGUGGGGAGCAAACAGGAUUAGAUACCUGGUAGUCCACGCUGUAAACGAUGCACACUAGUCGUCGGAUCUUGUUAUUCGGUGACGCAGCUAACGCAAUAAGUGUGCCGCCUGGGGAGUACGGUCGCAAGAUUAAAACUCAAAGGAAUUGACGGGGACCCGCACAAGCGGUGGAGCAUGUGGUUUAAUUCGACGCAACGCGAAGAACCUUACCUACCCUUGAAUCCUCAUCGCAGAGAGCAGAGAUGCUCUCUUUCAGUUCGGCUGGAUGAGUGACAGGUGCUGACGGCUGUCGUCAGCUCGUGUCGUGAGAUGUUGGGUUAAGUCCCGCAACGAGCGCAACCCCUAUCUUUAGUUGCCAGCAUUAAGUUGGGCACUCUAGAGAGACUGCCGGUGAUAAGCCGGAGGAAGGCGGGGACGACGUCAAGUCGUCAUGGCCCUUAUGGGUAGGGCUACACACGUGCUACAAUGGCAACUACAAUGAGCUGCUUAUCUGCAAGGAUUGGCCAAUCUCAAAAAGUUGUCUCAGUUCGGAUUGCUCUCGCAACUCGAGAGCAUGAAGUUGGAAUCGCUAGUAAUCGCAAAUCAGCACGUUGCGGUGAAUACGUUCUCGGGUCUUGUACACACCGCCCGUCACACCAUGGGAGUUGGUUUUACCUGAAGUUGGUGAGCUAACCGUUUUUUCGGAGGCAACUAACCACGGUAAGAUUAGCGACUGGGGUG